rnacentral:rRNA from 1 species
GAUGAACGCUGGCGGCGUGCCUAAUACAUGCAAGUCGAGCGAACAGACGAGGAUCUUGCUCCGCUGACGUGAGCGGCGGACGGGUGAGUAACACGUGGAUAACCUACCUAUAAGACUGGUAUCACUACGGGAAACCGGCGCUAAUACGGGAUGAUAUAUUGAACCGCAUGGUGCAAUAGUGAGAGACGGCGUUGCUGUCUCUUAUCGAUGCUUCUGGGCCGGAUGAGCUGGUUGGUAAGGUAACGGCUUACCAAGGAAAGCAUGCGUAGACGAGGGGAGAGAGUGAUCGCCGACCCGGGAACUGAGCCGCGCACAAGACUCCUACGGGAGGCAGCAGUAGGGAAUCUUCCGCAAUGGGCGAAAGCCUGACGGAGCAACGCCGCGUGAGUGAUGAAGGUCUUCGGUGCGUAAAACUCUGUUAUUAGGGAAGAACAAAUGUGUAAGUAGCUAUGCACGUCUUGACGGUACCUAGUCAGAAAGCCACGGCUAACUACGUG